AUUGAACGCUGGCGGCAUGCUUUACACAUGCAAGUCGAGCGGCAGCGCGGGGUUCGGGCAACUGAGCUCUGGCGGCGAGCGGCGGACGGGUGAGUAAUGCAUCGGAACGUAUCCUGUAGUGGGGGACAACCCAGCGAAAGCUGGGCUAAUACCGCAUACGCUCUCAGGAGGAAAGUGGGGGACUCGCAAGGGCCUCACGCUAGAGGAGCGGCCGAUGCCGAUUAGCUGGUUGGUGAGGUAAAGGCUUACCAAGGCGACGAUCGGUAGCUGGUCUGAGAGGAUGAUCAGCCACACUGGGACUGAGACACGGCCCAGACUCCUACGGGAGGCAGCAGUGGGGAAUUUUGGACAAUGGGGCAACCCUGAUCCAGCCAUGCCGCGUGCGGGAAG
rnacentral:rRNA from 1 species